rnacentral:rRNA from 1 species
GAUGAACGCUGGCGGCGGGCCUAAUACAUGCAAGUCGAGCGAAGCGGGGACGGGCGAGUAACACGUGGAUAACCCCCUAUAAGACUGGGAUAACUGCGGGAAACCGGCGCUAAACCGGAUACUUAUAGAUGGAUAGGCGCUGCAUUAGCUAGUUGGUAAGGUAACGGCUUACGAAGGCAACGCUGCAUAGCCGACCUGAGAGGGUGACCGACCACACUGGAACUGAGUUCCGGUCCGGACUCCUACGUGAGGCAGCAGUAGGGAAUCUUCCGCAAUGGGCGAAAGUCUGACGGAGUAACGCCGAGUGGUGGAUGAAGGUCUGCGGAUCGUAAAACUCUUUUAUUAGGGAAGCGAUACCGAAUCAGAAAGCCUCGGCGAACUACGUGCCAGCAGCCGCGGUAAUUC